CCGCUACGUGGAUAAGUAGAAUUUUCACAUGGAUUCUGCUUAACUAAGUCAAGAAUGUAGAAUCCACAAAGGACAAUGUCAAAUAGACUCCCUCCUUUUCUUAUUAACAUAUUGAAGUUGAGGUUUCCCUGGACCUCAAGCCAUUCCUCUCCCUGUCCUUCUUCUUGUAUCUUAUUAUUCCAGAAGAAUGAAUAAUUGUAGAACAACCGCAAACCUCAAGUCUGGCCACGGGAACACAGUAAGGUAGAUAAUGCAGAACUGAUAUCAAAUUGGACUAGAGAAUCGAAUUCUAUAGUCCGUGUUGUCCUUUGCUUGACUGAUCCCUGAUAAUUUUGGGAUAAAUUAAGGAUUUGGGAGUUUAUCAUUUCAAGUAGGUACACAAUAUUUACACUCUUAUACUCAUUCAAUAGCUAGGCCACAUUUGUUGCCAAAAUCAUUCCAGAAAAUGGAAUUGGAAAAAAAAAGUUUUGAGUACACAGUCAGCAAUAUUUAUAAAGUCCCAUAUCGAGGAAUGUACAAUACGAAAGUGAAAUAAAAUAUACAUUCAAAACUUGAGAUACAGUCAAGGUUUUCUUUCCUUAAUUUGAAUGAUUGCUUAUACAGCAUGUGAAUCUGAACUCAGACCCAUGGUAAACCUUCUGACUGAGCUUCAUUAGUGCCAAGAAUACAAGUUUGCACCAUCUUUGUAAAUAUUUGGACACUUUGCUCAAUGCUUAGCACAUUUUGGAAAAUCCCCUGGUGUUAAGAAAGAAAGUAUUAGAUAUGAAAAUCUGUGAGAAUAAAUCAUUUCUAAGUUUGAUUUUUGUGGCUACAGAGAAAGACUUUUACUCCGAUGUAAGUGAGUGUCUAAAACUGUUAAAAAAAACCAUUAUCUCUCAUCUGCAAGAAUCCUUCUAAUGGCUUACUGCUCUGUCUUCCAGGAGAUGAGUGUCAAUUGUGUCAGUUGCUCCUUGUGGCAGGAAAAGGGCUUGUUUUAAAAAUGCUUUGCAAUUACCAAGAACUUUGAGGUUUCUGGAGAAUGCUUCCUCCUGUUAACCUUCAUUCUGCUCUCAUAGCAUUUGCUAUCUACACAAAUCCAUCUGUACACACCCCCAUCCACUUCUUUCUGGCGAACUUAUGUAUCCUGGAAGUUGGUUACACUGGUUCUGUCAUACCGAAAAUAUGGAGAGCCUUGUAAGUGAGAUCUGAGGAGUCACUCAGGAGGGAUGUGCCACACUUUUUCUUCACACUUUCAGGUAUAACUGAGUGCUGCCUUGGCAGCCAUGGCCUUUGACCACUGUAUGGCCCUAAUUAACUAUUCAACACAAAUGAGUCGAGAGGUAUAUGCCCAUUUGGCAUUUUUUCAUCGGGAAUAGGUUGCCUUGUAGGGUUGGGACAAAACUACUUGAGACCCACAUGUAACCACCUACAAGUAGGUGAUAAAUUCUUGGUCAUCUUCCAUACCACAGUGAUAUCCAUGCUGAACCCCAUUGUCUAUAGGUAAUGAACCAAGAAGUCAAGGCAGAACUGAGAAGAACUCUGGGUUGGAAGGAAGAUCUGAUAAUAAAUAGGUAAUUAAGGAUCCCAAAGUGCUCUUUCAAAAAGGUGAAAAGUCUGUGAAAGAAAGAAAACAAAACCACUAUGCUCUUUCUUGCUGUCUUCAAACAAAGUUUAAGAAACGUAACUUUGUUUUACAGUGUUCUCUUUAUUCACCACCAUGCUUAAUUGCAAACAAUUGUAAAGCAUGCUUGCUACUAAAUUACUUUAGUAGAUUAGUCCAGUAUUUAAACAUUAUCAUCUGGGCAGAGUUUAAACCACAAACUAAUAUCUCAUGGGCCUUGAAAAUUCCCUAUAUCCAUUCUUAGCUCUUUGGAAAUCUUCCAGAAAUUGUUUGUAAAUGAUCUCAGCUCAUUAUGCUACAAUUCCAUAUUCCUCAGUACAUGUAAAUUCAUUGCAUUGGACUGGAACUGCUAAGUAGUUCUCAGGAGAGUGAAUUGAUAGCCUCUGCUUUGUGUACCAUUUGGUCAGUCCAUACUUCAGUUCUGGGCACCCAGGGCCUAUGAUUUUGGAACAUGAGUAGUCUUUCCUCCCCUUUUUGAUUUCUAAUAGGGCGGUGUAAAAGAAUUUCAACCAGGUGAUUCUCAACAUCAAUAUCAUAGUUUCAGAUAAACACACACAAACACACACACACACACACAGAUGAACAAACACACACGUACAAACACACAGAUACACACACACAUAAACACACAGAUACACACACACUAACACACACAGAAACAUGCAAAAUUGCUCCUUACUUCAAGUUUACUUAAUUACUUACACACACACACAAACACACAAACACCUGCUUCUUACAUUCAAGUUUACUUAGUUACACACACACACACACACACACACACACACACACAUAUAUCUGCUUCUUACCUUCAACUAGACUUAGUUAUUUUCAUAGUUAUUUGUUUAUAUAUUCACUGUACCUACUGCACACUGCCCCCCUCAGGUUCACCUUCUCACAAUCUUUCUCCUAGCCCUUUCUCCUCUGAUCAGGAGUGGACCCCAUGAGUAUCUCCUCACCUUGGAUAUCUAGUCUCUGUUAUCACAUCCUCUGCUACAUAGGCCAGAUACAGCAGCCUAGAUGGAUAGGGGUGUGGAGGUAGAAGUCAUAUCCAGAAAGUGGCAGAGACCUGGGGUAAGAGAUGCCCAUGAAUCAAUGAGUGUUUCCUUAGCUGAGACUCACAGCCUCACUGAUAUGGACCUGAAGAAGCCAUCUCCUGUAGCCAGAGAGCAAACCAAAUGGAGUGAGAGAGACACCAACUUUUGACCCAAAAUUUAUUCUGACCACAAGAAAUGAAAGGUCCGUGCAUAGAGCAGUGAGUGUGGAAUGAUUGACCAAUGGUUAGUGCAGAUUAAGACCCACCCCAUUGAUGAGCACUGAUCCCUGACAUUAUUAAUGAAACUCUGAUAUGCUUGGAGAAAGGAAUCUUAGAUGUCUUCCCUCUGAGAGACUCCACUAAGCUGCUGACUCAGACAGAAACAGACAUCAACUAGCCAAACAAUGGGUAGAGCUUGGGACUCUGAUGGAAGAAUAGAAUGAAAAGGAUUACGGCAUCUAAGGACAUAGGCACUCCAGAGUCUUCAUGUGGGUACCGAACAACUAGAAUUGGGCUUUCCCAAAACAUGUUGACCAUAGAUGGGACAUCUGUGUCUUUAAAAUUCAUUUAUUUAAUUAUGCACUUUACAACCCAAUAUCACAGAUGUGCAUUCUGAUUUUUUUAAAGCAGGUAUGAAAUUUUUAUACAGAUGUCUAGAUUUCUGUUGUUUUAAAGAUUCUUAUAAGGGUACUUUUAAAGAUAAAUAAUACAAUUUACAAUAAUACAUUUCUCUGUAAAUUCAAAUUGCUCACUUAUGAAGUUAUGUUGGCCUUGGGAGUAAUUUGUUUUCUUUAGGUGUACUAUGUAAUAUUUCUUCUAAUACAGUAUUGGGUAUCACUUUUUUCAGCACUAAGCAAGAGAAGCACACUAGAACAUGAUCACAAUUGUGUAAUACAAUAUUCAAUAAAUUAGUCGUCUAUAGGGAAAAUACUGCCAGUUGGGAAAAAGAGAAAUCAUAGAAUAUUGAAGUGUAAGUCACACGAAUGAACCUGGGACUAAAAAUAUUAUCUAGAAGAAUAUCCUAUACUUUAUUUUCCUAAAUCAUUUCUACCCAUGCCAAGCCCCAGACUAACAUUCUCCAUUCAGAGCAUGUUACCACUAAUGAGGACAAGAGAAGUCUCAAGGCUUAGAGAGAUGGAGUACAUAAAGGUUUACCCUGUGUCACAAGAGAGUCUCCUGGAAAAGGCACUCUCAAAACUGGUAAUGUAAGGAAAGCUGUUCAGCAGGUAGGCCUUGGCAGUUCUCAGUGACAUCAUCAUUAGGCCCUCCCUGAAAAAUCUCUUGUAUCCUGGAGAGCACUAGAUCCUUCUGUAAUGUCACAAGUGUUGCUGUGACAGCAACUGCCUCUCAGAUAUUCCUUCAGUACCUCUAGGGCUUGCUAAUUGGCCUUUAAUUCAGAGUAAACAGCCAUUUGGGAGGGAGAACAAAGAGGAUGAGGAGAUCAGAGAUGGGGAGAAAGAAGCUGCCCCUCUGUAUUGGUAUAAAAAAGGAAGAAAUAUGUGGUCCAUUGCAGAGCUCAGUUAGUCAUGGGUAGGGGUUUAGUGGGUUCCCUGAAGAGACAGCCUUGAUCUGAGCCUUCCACAUAUGGGAAUCCGGAGAUGGAAGCAUCUUAGAAGCAUCUGGACUUCCCUGAUCUUAUGGUUCCUGAAAGUCACAGAGUUAUAUAUCAUUCAUUCUUUAUUCCAAAACCCAUGUGUUGGGAAGGGCACAGUUGUUUCCUGAGAGCCCAUGGCCUUUAUUCUUUUUGCCAAGAUGAAAAACAUCCUAAGGAAGAAGGGAUGGACAAGUAUUUUGUCCUUAGCUCAGAGUAAACUUCUCCAGGAUUAUUAUCCCUGUAGCGCAGUUUGUGUCUGACACUGAUAUCUGGGAGAGAGAAGUGCUUCUAGUUGAGUCUUCAUCAUCUCAGUCUUUAACUAGUAUUACUCUGACUACCAUUCCCUGACAGUGACUCUCUAGAUUUCAGAGUCAAUAGGAGUGAUUAGCUGACAGUUUCUUUUUUUCAUUUUUUGUUUACUUUUUACCAAAUAUAUUUUUUGUGAUUGUUAUUUCUAUAAUAACAUUUCGAAUAUUUUUCCUUUCUCAAUAUCCUGUACAAAAGUUCCCUAACCGGUCCACCUCCUCUUCUUCUAUAAACCCCCUUGCAUCCCUUUGACAUUCCCUUGAACAGGGUGCCAAACCAAGGGAAACCCAAGGAAUUCUUUUUCCAUUCGUGCCCAUCAAAGCCAUCCUCUGCUACAUAUCCAGUUUGAACCAUAGUUCUCUCCUCGUACAUUCUUUGAAUAUGAUUUUAGUACCAGAAAGCUCUGGUUCAUUGGAUUUGUUUUUUUUUUUUGUUUUUGUUUUUUUUUUUGUUUUGUUUUAUGGGAUUGAAUGUCCCUCCAGUACUUGUAAUCCUAUCUCAAAAUCUACCAACAAGAGACCCUUUCCAAGUUUACUGGUUUGCCAAUAGCUUUCAUUUCUGUAUUUGAUAUGCUCUAGCUGUGUCUCUCAGGAAAGAACUAUAUCCAGUUCGUGGAAUCAGGGACUUCUUAGCUUCAUCAAUCUUAUCUAGUUUUGUUGGCUGAUAUAGAUAUCUGCACCAGGAAUCUAGAGAAGACCUUUUAGUGCAGUUUGUGUGUUGUAAGAGGUUCAUCUCAAUUACAAAUUUCCAACGGCCACAUUCCCUUAGCAUGAUUUUCAUAUGAUGCUUUGAUACAGUGCUUAUUAUUUUCUAUAGUUCUUGGCAAAAGAAUAAAAAUAGAAACAGUAAUCUGUCAAUGUACAGUAAUAUAUUUGCAUGAAUCCAUCAUGUAGAAGAAUUACAGGAUAAAGAAUUGGAAAACCAGAUGUCUUUCCUUUUGUGGACCAAGAUUGAUAAACUGGACAAUAUAAAAAUCUGAGACAAGUUGUCUGAAGUUUGUUCUUUCUUUCAAUCAUGGGCUCCUAGGGAAGGAUUUCAGGUAUCAAGAGUCAGAAAUAAUUACCUUUAUUUCUGACCCAACUCACCUGCUGAAUAACUCAUUCUCAGAAAUGAAGAAACUCUGUAUCCAUCCUGCAAUAAUGUGUAUAUAUCUAUAUAUCGUUCAUAGAAUGGAUACUUUUGACUCUUAGUUUCAAAGCAAAAGUCUGGGGAGACACAGAAUUAAUUCUUUUACACAUUAAUUCUCAGGUUGAUGUUUGGUCUCAAAAGUUCAUUGCAGGAGUUGCUUUACAACAGUCAUUCUCUGAUCUGGAAGAAACACAUUUUAAAUGUUGUGAAAUCUAUUACAACAUUAUCAACUACCUUUCUCCCUUCCCAUUUUUGAACUGAAUUAUUUUCCACAAAAUGUCUGUUGUCUCAGCUGCAGUCUUUAUUCCCACAGACUAGUCUGAAUCUUGCUUUUAGCACUGCAUUUAUGAUACAUCAAUGUGAUUUCCUUUCCACAUUCACCACUAGUAGAAUUUUUCAAAUCUUCAAUUCAUCUGAUGGGUCUAAUCUACAUUGUCACCAAGGAUGACACUUGAGAGUUUAGGGAUCCUUAGGUAUAAUGUUGUAUCCACGAAUAACCUACAUGGAUUACUGGCAGAUUAGAGAAUGACCAUGUCUAUACCAUAUAUGUAUUCCUGUAGGUUUCACAAAACUUCUCUCUUUGGUUGAAUUUGAUCCAGUUCAACUAAUACAGUACAAAAGAAAGGAUAAAAGUCAUGCACAUGUCCUGGAAACAUAGCUCAUGCGUUUUGAGAAUUUGCUAAGCAAAGAACCAAAAGGGUAACCCAAUUCUAUGUGAAAAUCUCUCACCCAACUGGCUUCAGUGGGAAUUGCAUGUAUAUGGUGCAUAGCACAUAAAGCAGGCAAAACACUUGUGUAAAAAAGAAACAAUAACAGUAUCCUUUGCCUUACAUAAGCUUUGCAGUUUUAUGAGAUACCCUUUGCCAAUUCUUUAUCUUAGAGCAUAAGACAUUGUUGUUUUUUUUCAGGAAAUUUUCUCCAGUGCCCAUGUGUUUGACAUUCUUCCCACUUUCUUUUCUAUUAGUUUGAGUGCAUUUGGUUUGAUGUGGAGGUCCUUAAUCCCCUUGGACUUAAGCUUUGUAUAGGGUGAUAAGCAUGGAUUGAUCUGCACUCUUCUACAUGCAGACCUCACAUUGAACCAGCACCAUUUGAUGAAAAUGCUAUCUUCCAUUAGAUGGUUUUGGCUACUUUGUCAAAAAUCACGUGACCAUAGGUUUGUGGUUUCAUAUCUGGGUCUUCAAUUCUAUUCAACUGGUCUGUCUCUCUGUCUCUGUAACAAUACCAUGCAGUUUUAUCACUAUUGUUCUCUAAUACUACUUGAGUUCAGGGAUAGUGAUUCCCCAAGAAGUCAUUAUAUUGUUGAGGUUUUUGUUAUCUUGGGUUUUUCGUUAUUCCAGAUGAAUUUGGAAAUUGUCCUGUUAAACUCUCUGAAGAAUUGGAUUCGUGUUUUGAUGGGGAUUGCAUUGAAUCUGCAGAACGCUUUUGGUAAAAUGGCCAUUUUUACCAUAUUUAUCUUGCCAAUCCAUGAGCAUGGGAGAUCUUUCGACCUUCUGAGGUCUUCUUAAAUUUCUUUGUUCAGAGGCUUGAAGUUCUUACAGAUCUUAAACGCAAAUUUUUCUCUCCUUCUUUAAUAGGGGAACAAGAAUACCCUUGGCAAGGAAUAGGGAGGCAUAAUUUAGAACAGAGGCAGAAAUAUCACUCAUUCAGAGCCUGCCCCACAUGUCGCCCAUACAUAUACAGACACCCAAUUAGACAAGAUAGAUGAAGCAAAGAAGUGCAGGCCAACAGGAACUGGAAGUAGAUCUCUCCUGAGAGACACAGCCAGAAUACAACAAAUACAGAGGCGAAUGCCAGCAGCAAACCACUGAACUGAGAAUGGGACCCCCAUUGAAGGAAUCAGAGAAAGAACUGGAAGAGCUUGAAGGGGCUCGAGAUCCCAUAUGAACAACAAUGCCAAGCAGCCAGAGCUUCUAGGGACGAAACCACUACCCAAAGACGAUACAUUGACUGACCCUGGGCUCCAUCCUCAUAGGUAGAAAUGAAUAGGUAGUAAAAGCACCAGUGGAAGGGGAAGCCCUUGGUCCUGCCAAGACUGAACCCCCAGUGAACAUGUUUGUUGGAGUGAGGGUUUUAAUGGGGGGGUGAUGGGGAGGGAAAGCCCAUAUUGAGGGGGAGGUGAAGGUGUUAGGGUGAUGUUGGCCCAGAAAACUGGAAGGGGAAUAACAAUCGGGAAGGUAAAUAAGAAAUAUUCGUUAGUAAAGAUAAAAAAAAAAUAAAAUAAAAUAAAAAACAAAAGAAAUAAUAGCAAUAAUAAUGUUAGUGAUAAUAAAGUGACCCAAACAACUAUUCAAAAUAGGCACCAAAUAUAUUUUCAAGGAAAAACAUAAAAACUAAGUAUAAAAAAAUGUUUUUAGAAACAAGGAAUUCAUUAUCUCUCCCAAGUGGUUCCCACUGUGACUAUAUUUCAUGAAACCAGAGACAGACAGUUCUGUUUUUCCUGAUUUCUAUUAUUACUCCAUUGGUGAAGGUUUUCAUUUCCUGAGAAUCAUUAGAGAAAAACUAUUGAGUUUCUCACUAGUUUUUUCUAUACGAUCACCCCUAGAGUAUGAUAUUUUUGGAGAACCUAAAUAUUUGACUGCAAGAAUGCAUCAUGGAUAUCUUUUCCAUCAUGAAAUUGGUAUCCACUGUGGGUCAUAGUAGCUACAUCGAAAGUCCAAUCAACAUGUUUACCUCUGGCUUGUUGUGAACAAAUUAUCAAUCCCAAGGACCCUGAAUGUUUCAGUGACCUAUCUCCACAUAUGGUUUAUCAGGUUACAAGAUGGCUACACCACAAAUAAAAAAACAAGUUUCUAAAUUUCUUUUUUUUUUAUUAACUUGAGUAUUUCUUACAUACAUUUCGAGGGUUAUUCCCUUUCCCGGUUUCCGGGCAAAUAUCCCCCUCCCCCCUCCCCUUCCUUAUGGGUGUUCCCCUCGUAACCCUCCCCCCAUUGCCGCCCUCCCCCCAUAGACUAGUUCACUGGGGGUUCAGUCUUAGCAGGACCCAGGGCUUCCCCUUCCACUGGUGCUCUUUCUUAAGAGUUGAAAAACACAAUUUAUUCUGAAAAAUAUAUAUUAGCUUUUUUCAAAAAGUGCUAAAAUGAUACAAUCAUAAUAUAAAUUGCAUGAUCUUAACCGAACUGAAAAUUCACAAGAACAAAAAUUAAAAAAAAAAAAAAAGAAUGAGUGACAAAACUUCCAACCAAACCAAACAAUGCUAAUACCUGAUGAAAACAAAACUCAAACCAAAAAAAAAAAAAAAAAAACAGAGUAAUUAAGAUAAUCAGCAUUCUCUUGUUCAAGGUUUAUCACCACAGGCGUUCCCUGUGGCUGCCCUUGGAACAUAGUGGGAAGGCAGUCAGUCACCAAUUGUAAUAGAGUUUUAAAGAUGAAUCUAGCUAUGCCUCUUUGGGGCCUUUACAGGUCAAGGACUUCCAAGGCUAAUAUGAGACAUGUACAGAAUUUGGUUUCUAGGUUUUGAAUUUCUCUUGACUGAUUUCCAAUAAUAAACUUGAAAAUCCCUCAGAACAAGAAUGAACUAACCCUCUGAGACAACUCCUGAAUGCCCAGCCAUUUUUGAUGUGCUUCAACACUUCUUUGAAACCCUCUCAUGUUCAUGUUCAGUGUGAAGGGAAUUCCAAUGUCUGAAUGGAAACUCACUUCCCCUUCCUACCUGGGUUACAACAUUUAUUCAGCUCAAAUAUUUUCACUCCCAAGGAGAUCAAGAUUUUAAAAAUUCAUCCUCUCAAAGUGUACCACUAAAUUAAUAGCAUGAAUUUUCUACCAUUCAAAGUCUUCCUAAUGCAUAUUUCCUGAACCCUUAGCUUUAUGUAUUUUAGUAACCAGUUCUGCAUCAGGAAGUCCUUAUUUAGAUACAAUGUUUCUCCUUGGCUUUUAACCAGCUGCUCAGUCUUAGGUACUGGAUUUACCUAAGCACAAGUUUCUCCCUUUUGAAUUCAGCUGUUGCCAGUACUGUUCCUUAGGUUUUUCAAAUUGAAGAAUUGUCAAAAUUCUUACUGUCCCUACAGAGUUAUGACUAGUAAUGACCUGGUUCAAUCCUACAAUCCUGAGAACUGAGCAUCUCAAGUUCCAUAAAAUCCAAAUGGUGUCUCUAGAUAUCUCUGAAAUGUUGUUUUCAUAGUGGGAUUCAGUUGUUACUGUUUUCAAAUCAUUCCUCUUAAACUUUAAAAUGUAAGCAUUGCUCAUGUACAGAAUUCUUUCUCAAGAAAGGAGGAGGAUUUCUGAAUUCUUUCAUUGACAUUGGGUUGACUUACUUGUGGAUGUACACCUCAUUCCUUGGAUCAAUCCAGCAUGCCCCAACAGCACAGAGCAAGUCACUUAUUUGUAGGGUGUGUGUGUGUGUGUGUGUGUGUGUGUGUGUGUGUGUGUGUGUCUAGGUCAGUCCACGAGAACUCCUUCUACAUGUUGGAGAAACACACUUUUUCAAAGAUACCAUGGCCUCCUUUGUUUUCCAUGCCUCUUUAACAUAUCUAAUCACUUCAAAAUGCACCAUUUACUUAUACCUCUCGGUCACAGAUUAAACUCAUAAUAUCCUCCAAUCUCCACAGGGAAUCAGAGCUCAAUAAUAAAUAAUUUUUCGAGACUUUAGAUUCAAAAUUUGUCCUAAAACUCAUUAAGUAUUUAUUGUUCUGUAAAUGAAAAUCCAGCUGGUAUUUUGGACAUUUGAGUUUCAUGGCCAGAAAUCAUCAGCUAAACGCAUUCCCUCCAUUCUUGGCAAGUUCAUGCUAUGCUUCCCGAAUGUCAUGUUUGCUGUGACUACCUAGUUAUACAGUCUUAUGAUAUGCAAGUGAGUUCUAAUAUAGUAUUCUUAAUACUUAGUGGUUCUGAUCAGAAUCUGCAAAGUGGGGAAUCAAUCUCUUUGUGCUAAACAUAGGUUGCAAACUGCCUCUGGAUAUAUUUUGGAUAGCAUAUUGUAUAAAUGCAUGUGCUUUUUAGGUGGUUUAUCAUUAUCUAUUAACAGUCUACAUACCAUAGUAUCAGAUUAUUUUAAAUUUCUAUGUAAAGUGAUUUCUUGUCCCUCCUGGCUUAGAAUUGUGUGGGGAUACUUAGAUCAAUCUGUGUAGCCCUACGCAAUUCUUCUUGAUAUACUUUCAUCUAUGGAUGGUGUAAUAUCUACAACCUUUGAUAUACUGCCUUUGAUACACCUUCCUUCACCUGUGUAAAUGAAAAUAUUUUCAUCUCUGGAUGGUGUAAUAUCUACAAACUUUGACAUACGGACUUUUAUGCACCUUCCUUCACCUGUGUGAAAGAAAAAUAUUUACAGCAGACUGAUCCUGUAAUGUUUUGGAUACUACAUGAUUCCCUUAGCUAAAAUAUGACUAUGCAUUCUUAUUCAGGCUCAAACAGAUUCAUGGGGAGACGCCAUUGACUAGAAAUGUCUACUACUACUCAGAUGUCCUCUAUGAAUACAGUCAGAAGAACAGUUACUUCAGUUCAGCUCACUGAUGGUGGAAGGUUGGGAUGACGACUUCCCAGCAGACCCUGAAGAGAAACACAAGGGAACAUGCAUAGUAAUGGCCCAGUCACAGGAGAGAAAAUGCUGAGUCCCUAAUGAACCAUGAUGAAAUGGGAAAUCUACAGAUACUUGGAAGCACUGAAAGAUGAGGAAAGCUCUCUUCAAGCUGGACUUAUUAGCUAUUUUCUUUCUCGCAACCGUGAUCCCUAAACAUGUGUCUCACUGCCUUCUGCAGUCGCCCUGGCCCUUAACAACAAAAUCUGGUCAAGACAUGAAUAAAUGGAAGAUAUUUUCAGUUCGUAUCUGAUGGGAUGCAUGUAAGUCCUGGAGUCCAUAGUGUUAAGGACCACCAAGCCUUAAUCAUGUAUGUUCAAGACAAAGAGUAAGAGACCUUGAUGCAUGUGAGCGGAGUAGCCCUUGUCAUAAAUUCCUAUGGCAUGUCCAGGAAUCCUGUGAAGAUAAAAUUCAAUACUCUACCCUGAGAGUCAAAGCUUUUAUCGCUGUGCCUCUUCUUGGCAUUCUUCCUCAUUCAGAAUGAAACUAAGGAAUGCAUAGUAGACAAGAUGCAUGCUUGACAAUUCCUGACUCUCUGCCAAUAAAUUUAUCAGAUAUUCCUGAAACUGGGUCUCUUCUUUAGGGAUCCAGAGCCUUCAGGUCAUAAGUCCUACUCCUAGAAGGCCUGAGCCAAGACUACCUCCUCUAGGAAGUUCCUCAGAACCAGCCCACUGCUCUCACUCGCCUUUUUGCACAAGAUAAUUUAUGUUUUCACUUCUUUAACAAGAAAGUAUCUUAAUUUCUUCCUCCUCUCUCUUUUGUCUCUCCAUGCUCUCUGUUUUCUCUGUAAAUAGCUUGAUCAUCCUGAAAAACAUUUGAGUAGGUAAACAAAUAUGUAUUAACUAAUUGCCACGAGGGCAGUUUCUGUUUCCAUAACACUAGUGACAUCACAGAGAAUACAAUGGAAAUUCCAGCAUACAUUAGAGUAUCUGGAAGAUAGUCCAGUUCAACAGCACAUAACUUCCCUUUAACAAGAUCUUCUCCAAAUAAACAAACCAAGUUGCCCUUUCAAGGAUCUUUGCCUGAGACACAAAGGAAGACUUUCUAUCAAUAUCCCUUCUAACCCAGAUAUAUCACUGAUCUAUUGAAUUUUUUACCACCUUCAUGCAUGAAUAGUGAAGACUCAGUUCUCAACCACAGCCCACAAAUGGUCCCCCACUCCUUUGGUAGCACACUCAAAAUGACAAAGAAGAAAAUAAACUGAGAACAUAGUUCAGAAUUCUUGUCAGUGAUGUGUUGAUUUGACACAGUUAAUCCAUCUCUGGGGACAUCUUCUGUAGCUAAAUGACCAAUUUUUCCAAAUUCUUCAUCUAUUCCCCCUGCUAAGUAAUAUUGGAGGGUUGGGAUGAUGUCUUCCCAGUAGGCCAGGUACAUAGAUAAGUACUAGUGAGCAAAGACUUGGGGAAUAUCCACAGACUACAACAGUAUGGAUAGGGGAGUAAAAAAUACAGAAAACAUUUAAAUUCUGAUAAAAAAUUCCCUCAGAGCCUCAAAAAUUAUUUAUUUUAGCCAUGAGACUGAUUGUGAUGUGAUCAGUGGCACACAGUUCUGGAUACAGGUGCAUUGAUUAACGCAGGUGUAAUUUGAGUCAUCAAUAGCAAACACUCAGGGAAAGCAUGAUGGGUCAAUCUUGGAAUGAGCAAUGAGAAGUCAAACUGAAGUAUAUAUAGGUAUCAUGUGGAAGAAACAGAUGGACAGAGACAAAGACAGAAAGACAGACAGACAGAGAGACAGAUACACACACACACAAACACAACUCACUCACACACACAGAAAUCAAAGGAGCAGUCAUAGGAAAACGAUGUAGUAGAUCAUUGGUAAGGAGCGCCAGCCAGGGAGGAAAAGUCAAAUUCUUCAUUUGGGUGCCACAUAUGACAACUUCUAUACUCCUGAAAGGCAGUCACUACUACAUUUAUGUACAACAUCCAUUAGGAAAAUACAGACAGGGAAGGUAAAGUAAGGGAAGAGACUAGGUAUUACUACACGAUGCAUGUUUAUUAAAGUCCCAUGUUAUCUUUCUCCUGAGGCUGUAAGUCCCUGUAAAGAGAAGACAGUCUAUGGUCAGCCUGGCAUGCAUUUCUUGGAUUUCUGAAAAUUUUCCUUCCAUACAUGAUCCUUGGCCCCUAGGCUUGUUGGGAGUUGUUGAAUAUUCUACAUCUUCUCAGUUGUUAAAUUCUUAUCUAGUAGAUUUGGACAUCAAUUCUAUUUUUAAUUGUUGUUCUCCAGUAGACAGCAAGUUCAGAUCACACUGGUUUUUAUGAGAUAAUCGAGUGCAUAAACUGCCAUGAAAUAUGUUAUCAUUAGUAAAGACCUUUGUAGGAAAGCUGAAAAAUAGGACAGAGAGGCAGAAAGACAAAGAGAGAUGAGACAGGGAGACGGAGAAAGACACAUACACAGAGAGAGAGAGAGUGAAAGAAUACUAUGCCUUGUGUAUAUGAAGCCAGAAAAUAAUUUGUGAAUCUAGAAGAAAGGUAUAAAUGACUGCCUGUAAAUCCCAUUGACUAAGAAAGAAGCCUGGAGCCAGUUGUGCUAUUGAGACUUCACACAGAUUGGCCUAUACCAAUGUGAAACACUAGACUUCCAUGAGCAAAUCCUUAGCCUGGAUAAUGCAGUUAUGUUGGUCUAGAAAAACAAACACUGAUUUGGCCCCUCUGUCUCUCAGUACUCUGAUCUGCCAUGUCACAAGAGGCUGAAUGGUCAUCCACUUACCCUGAGAUGCAGCUCACAAGGAACAGCACCUACCUUAAACAGUACUUCAUCUGAGCCUACCCUUCAUUGUAGAUGGUACUCAGGAAGCUAACUGACAGGUUACACUUUGCCUAGCUGUGUGUCAAAGUUCAGACAUGAGACUCCCACUCUGUGAUUGUCAACAUUUCCAUGUUUCCAUUGGGACGGCAGUGUCACAAUGGCCUGAUACUGUCUUCUAACUCCUAUCACUUUCUUCAUGUGACCAAGUUGACAGUCACCUUCAGUUUAUUCUCAGAUCCACAGGAUGCAACUUGGCCUCAGAGCCCUCAUGUCUGCCCACAGAACAAAGAGAAUAAUCUCACAGUUCACAAUGAUAAUGCAGACAUGCCACGGUAUUACCUCCAAAAUUUACUUUCAAAUUUAAUCUCUUAUUUCUGAUUAUACUACUCUUUAAAGAAGGUCAUGUUGUGGGAGAGCAUUUGGUUUCUGCCCCAUCCACAGAUUAUAGUUUUCUUACAUAGACUUUUUUCAGUGACAAGGUUUCUGUAAACUUGUAUCAAAUUAACCAUUUAAGCACAGAAACACACACACACACACACACACACACACACACACACAUACACACAUACACACACACACAUACACACAAACACAAGGAGUGUAGGGAUAAUAGUGAUGUGCAUGUUGAAGAAAUUUAGGACAGUCGAUUUAGCAUAUAAGAUAUGGAGGGUUGCACUAAAAUCUAAGCCCAUAGGAUGAAGGAUGGGGAACAAUUGUGAGUGGUGCUUUCCCCCCAUUUGGACAUAUGAACCAUGAAGUAUGAGACAGUAGAUCUGCAUGGUCAAAGCCAAAGUACAGAAACAUACACAGUCAAUUGAUUGUGAAUAGCUCAUCUCUCUGAUCUCUAAUGGAAGAGUUAAGAUGUUUCCACACCUCUCCUGCAUAAUAUUUCAUUGCAGUCCAAUGCUAGCACACUGAAGGAUAUUCAAGAACAUAUCUGAAAGGUGACCUUUUGACCUAGCUUCAUAUAGAGAUAAAGCAACAGUGUCAGAAUUCCCAGAGCUCUGAUGAGCAGAGGGUGUUGUUUUCCUCUCAUUAACUUAGCAAUGCCUCAGAAAUCCAAGGAGGCAAUCUCCUAAGGCCUAUUCACAGCUGCACAUGGUGUAUUUUGGCUUCAAAACACCUUAGGCUGUAGUUACAGAAACCAGGAUGAAAACUGCAAAUUCCAUCAGCAUACAGUUGCUGGGAAGAUCACCAGAAUCACUGAUAGGUCUCUAUAGAACCAUGACUGUAGAUAGACAUGCCUUGCAGGGAUAGUACAUGGUUGUUUAGUUCCCCCGAUUACUGUAUAGGACAUGUAGGGAAGUCAGGAAGGAGCCAGUCCCUGUUCUAUUUCACUAACUGACAUUUCUUCAAUGUCAUAGAAAUCUGCCUGCCAAAGGACACUGUCAUUAGGACAAAACAGCAACCAACAGAUUAGAAAAAAAGAUCUAUACCAAUACUCCACCUGAUAGAGGGCUAUAAUCCAAUAGAUACAAAGUACUAAAGAAAUUAAACUUCAGAGAGACAAAUAACCCUAUUCCAAUUGGGUUCCAGAAAUGAUGAAAGAAUUCUCAAUUGAGGAAAAUCAAAUAUCUGAGAAGCUUUUAAAGAAAUGUUCAUCUAAGUAUGGUGACUAAGUAUGUCAUCAAGGAAAUGUAAAUGAAAACAACCCUAAGAUUCCACCUCACACAUGUAAGAAUAGCUGGAAUAAAAAACUCAGGAGACAGCAGAUGUUGAUUAAGAUGUCAAGAAAGAGGAAAGCUUCUUCUUUCUUGGUGGAAUUACAAACUUGUACAAUCCACUCUGAAAAUCAUUCUGGAGAUUCCUCAGAAAGUUGUAAAUUGCACUACCUGAGGACCAAGAUUUACCUAGCCAGGGUAUAUACCCAAAACAUGCUCCAACAUGCAAUAAAGACACAUGGUCGGGCUGGAGAGAUGGCUCAGUGGUUAAGAGCACCCGACUACUCUUCCAGAGGUCCUGAGUUCAAUUCCCAGCAACCAUAUGGUGGCUCACAACCAUCUGUAAAGAGACCCGAUGCCCUCUUCUGAACAUAGCUACAGUGUACUUAUACAUAAUAAAUUAAUAAAUCUUUAAAAAAAA